rnacentral:lncRNA from 1 species
GGCCCAUAUAUAUAAUAAAUAGCCCAUUGUUAUAAAUAGUAGUCUCCUUCGCUUAUUUUGGGAGUUUUUAUUUAUUAUUAUUUUGAAUACACUUGUGAGUAUGAGUGUAAGAGCUAGGAUUAGCUUUUGUUGAACAGUCAUUUCGAAAUGUGUGUUACUUGAGGGUUCAAUUCCCUUGUGGUUUACGUAAGAGAUAAGUGUUUAAUUGUAUUUGAAAGGGAGGUUGUUGAAUUUAAUACAUUCUUUAAUUAUCUUAUCUAUCUAUCUGUCUGUCUAUCUAUCUGUCUUCUCUUUUCGUAUUUUAAGGGUUAUCAGGGUGGGUCAGCUUCUUUCGUUCUAGGUUAGUUGUGAUGUGAUUAUCCAUAUCAGACUCAAAUGAUGCUGGAGAGAUUCUUAGUAGUUCAGAGUUGACAACAUAUUUGACAAAGACAAGGGAAUAUUAGAUUUGGAGUGUGGAGUUGGAUAUAUGAUUCGUGUAUUAGGUUGUCUUAUCUUAGUCAAGUAUUCACUUAGUCAUGGAGGUUAGUCAGCUUUUGAAGAUAAGCUAGUGGUUAUCUUGAGCAAUGG